CCGGGAGAAGGAAAGCUGGGACGGGCCGGGACCACAGGAGCCCCAGCCCCACACAGCAACCACCCGGGCGAGAAAGAAAGAAAGAGCCAGGGAGGCGGGCGAAGCGCGGGGAGAGAAGCAGAGAAGAAAUAUUCACCUUCCCGCCUCAUGCCCACUUUGAGGCACUUCUUGAGGCGGCAGUAUUGGCACUGGUUGCGGUGGUGCUGGUCGAUGGGACAGUUCCUGUUGGCACGGCAUGUCAGGUAGAUGAAACUCAAGAGAAAAGGUGUGGAUAAAUGAAACUAGCCCAUGAUGAACCUGUUUUCUCCGUGACCACAAUAUUAACCAGGAUGAAUGGCGGUGGCAGUGGGCCUGCAUCACAGGUUGCAGCAGAUGUUCUCAAUAUUUCUAUUAAAAUUUCCUUAUUUCCAUAUGCAAGAGGAGCCCCAGAGCUGCAUCCUUAUGGUAGCUACCAUGCCGUGAUGUAAGCUGCCAUUCACUGGGGAGCUUUGGCAAUAGAAUUGGCUAGAUCAGGAAGCCUAUGUCAACUAUGGAACAACAACUUGCAGCUCAUCUCUAUUGAUGAUACACUGCCUCUAGGACUGGGACAGAUAGCCACUGAGUACCUGCUUCAAAUCACCCUGCACGUUUUCUCUUUGGAAAGAUAAGCACUGGAGAACCAUCUCGUUACCUUCAGCAGAAAUGGAAACAAAUCAAGACAUUAAGAAUGCCGCAGUGGACAGCAGUUAUGCAAGGUUCAGCAGAGGAAGUUUUCAAGAUGGUGUGCCUCACUAGCCAGAAAUCAGAAAAGAUCGAAGCUAGCCUUUUCAUCUCAGCUGCUCCUUAAAUCAGUGCAACCCCUCCAAAUUAAUGUGAAUUGAAACUUGCAUUGCUUUUCAACUUAAUUGAAUACUUACUAUAUGUGAACCACUGCACAAAAUAGGGGAAGAAGAUGUGGGAGACAAAGAUGUGGAGCCUGUCUUCAAUAAAUUUACAGUUAGUUUCAGGGUACAUUGUUUUUCUUCUGCUGUUAAUUAGGUGUAUCCCCAAGACAAUAAAUACAUGAAUGGAAAAGUAUAUUCUGUGUUUUAAGUCUCUUUAAUAAAAAACAAAACAAAAUCCAAAAAAACUCCUAACAUGGCAACUCAGGACAUUUUAAUCCUUUUUUUUGUUGUUGGGCUUCUGAUAGGAUCCAUUUUAUUGAUUCCAUAAAUAUUUAGUAGACUUUAGACAUAUUAAUACAUUGUAGUUUGAGUUAAUUUGCAUUAAAUUCUGUUUUUUUCCCCUUAGGUAUAGAUUGUCUGUUGGAAAAAUAUAUUGCUUGUGGAUUUCUUGGGGAGUGGGAAGGUGAAUUAUACCUGUUGUCUCUACAGUCCACUACCUUCCACACCCUAGGGCAGUGGUCCCCAACCUUCUUGGCACCAGGGAUCAGUUUCCUGGAAGACAAUUUUUCUGUGGAUGGUGUGGGGAUGGUUUUGGGAUGGAACUGUUCCACCUCAGAUCAUCAGGCAUUAGUUAGGCUCUCAUAACGAGUGCGCAGCCUAGAUCCCUCACAUGCACAGUUCACAGUAGGGUUUGCGCUGCUAUGAGAAUCUAAGGCUGCCACUGAUCUGACAGGAGGCAGAACUCAGGUGGCAAUGCUUACUGGCCCACUGCUCACCUCUUGCUGUGCGGCCUGGUUCCUAAUAGGCCAUGGACCCCCACAGACGGGUACUAGUCUGCAGCCUGUGGACCCCAGCCCUAGGGGCCUGCCAUUCUGAGUGAGUUAUUAGCAUGAAGAAGAGGAAGAUCUGGAUCAAACGUGGGUGAUGGUACUCAGAGACCCAAGAUAGGAUAGGGAUGGAACAAAAUCCAUCUGGGCAACGGCUCUAUGAAAAUUUGGCUAAGUAAUUAUUUCAGUAUUCAUUGUAUUCAUUGUCCUUCGUGUUCCAUAAGUUAAAUGACUGUCUAAUUUUUCCAAAAAUUUAUUUCUGACUUGAGAAUAAGUGUGUCAUGAUUUUCCCAGUGUAAAGACACUGAUAUAACUGUAGAUACCAGACAUUUUAUGUAGUGUCUAUGACACAUUUUAGUAUGUAUGAGCCAACAAUAGACAUGUCUUUGUCUUGAGGAGUGUCCAUCUGAAUUGAAAAUGUGUCAGCUUUUUUUUAACAUCAUCAACAGACUUCUUAAUUAAGCUGCCAAUACAUACUGCCAAUAGCACUGUGUGCUGUCUGAGAAAUGCAUUGUGUAAGUGCUAUUUCCAUCUUAUUAAAUAAACAAUGUUGCUCUGUAUAAACUGGAUUUAAAGUGUUCUUUGAAUGAGGCAUUAUAUUGCUCCAUAAAUAAUGUGAUGUGAAUUCUCAUAUGAUCCCUUUUAACUUAAUUUCUAAAAAAAUAUUAUUUGCUCCUCAGUAAGGAAUAGCUCUAAUUGGACUGGUAACUUUAGUGAUAUGAUUUGUCUGUAACAGGCUGAAUCGCCCCACUCCCAAACUCCUGGUCGUGAUACUGGAUAUUUGUUAUGCCACUUUUAGUUUGCAUGAGGUAUCUUCCAGGAAGUAUUAGUUAUUAACUUGUGUUCUACUAAACUGUAGAUAUUUAUUUCCUGUUCUGGAAGAUUUCUUGGAGUGUCCAUCUGUGCAUUCCUGGUGCCUAGUGUAGUCUUGCUAAUGGAAUAGCACCUUUAUUGGUGCUACUUAGGGGUUGGUAGCUUACAAUCAAUCUACUUGGAACGUAUCCAAAUAAACUGGAU
rnacentral:lncRNA from 1 species